AACAUAUAUAUGAGGAAAGUCCGGGCACCACUAGAGCAAUGAUACUGGAUAACGUCCAGCAAGAGUAAUCUUAGGGAAAGUGCAACAGAAAAAAACAGCCUAUGGCAAUGGUGAAAAAGUGAGGUAAGAGCUCACUAGGGUAUAUGGUGACAUACACCCUGUGUAAACCCUAUCUGGUGCAACGCCUUGUAAUUCGGAGUAAAGUAGCUCUAACGUUUCUCCGUUCUGAGCGGCACGAGGUUAUUAGCAAUAAUAAUCCUAGAUAAAUGACCACAGUACAGAACCCGGCUUAUUGUCUACCU
rnacentral:RNase_P_RNA from 1 species